rnacentral:rRNA from 1 species
GACGAACGCUGGCGGCGUGCUUAACACAUGCAAGUCGAACGGAAAGGCCCUGCUUUUGUGGGGUUCUCGAUUGGCGAACGGGUGAGUAACACGUGAGUAACCUGCCCUUGACUUUGGGAUAACUUCAGGAAACUGGGGCUAAUACCGGAUAGGAUCUCCUGCUGCAUGGUGGGGGUUGGAAAGUUUCGGCGGUUGGGGAUGGACUCGCGGCUUAUCAGCUUGUUGGUGGGGUAGUGGCUUACCAAGGGUUUGACGGGUAGCCGGCAUGGGAGGGUGACCGGCGACAUUGGGCCUGAGAUACGGCCCAGAAUCCUACGGGAGGCAGCAGUGGGGAAUAUUGCAGAAUGGGCGGAAGCCUGAUGCAGAAACGCCGCGUGCGGGAUGACGGCCUUCGGGUUGUAAACCGCUUUCGCCUGAGACGAAGAGUGAGUGACGGUACUGGGUAAAGAAGCAACGGCUAACUACGUG